rnacentral:rRNA from 1 species
AACGAACGCUGGCGGCAGGCUUAACACAUGCAAGUCGAGCGCCCCGCAAGGGGAGCGGCAGACGGGUGAGUAACGCGUGGGAAUCUACCCAUCCCUACGGAACAACUCCGGGAAACUGGAGCUAAUACCGUAUACGCCCUUCGGGGGAAAGAUUUAUCGGGGAUGGAUGAGCCCGCGUUGGAUUAGCUAGUUGGUGGGUA